UGGGGAAUAUUGGACAAUGGGGGAAACCCUGAUCCAGCAAUGCCGCGUGAGUGAUGAAGGCCUUCGGGUUGUAAAGCUCUUUUGUCAGGGACGAUGAUGACGGUACCUGACGAAUAAGCUCCGGCUAACUUCGUGCCAGCAGCCGCGGUAAUACGAGGGGAGCUAGCGUUGUUCGGAAUUACUGGGCGUAAAGGGCGCGUAGGCGGUCCUAUAAGUCAGAUGUGAAAGCCCCGGGCUUAACCUGGGAGGUGCAUUUGAAACUGUAGAACUUGAGAUCGAGAGAGGAAAGCGGAAUUACGAGUGUAGAGGUGAAAUUCGUAGAUAUUCGUAAGAACACCAGUGGCGAAGGCGGCUUUCUGGCUCGAUACUGACGCUAAGGCGCGAAAGCGUGGGGAGCAAA
rnacentral:rRNA from 1 species